CAACAACACACACGCACGCACACCAACUCACUGUCUCAGAGAAUGAAACAAGGGUUUCAACUUUCAACCCCCAAAAAAAAUAAAAAAUAGAGGAAGAUUGAAGAACACAACAGAGAGAUCGAGAGACAAAAGAAUAAAAAAUAGGUGUCCCUAUCAAAUAUGGCGAAACAAAGUUAUAAUCCCGUGGAUUGAUUGAACGAAUCGAGGUGAUAACUUGGAUCGAGCGAAAUGAUUAAACCGAGAAUAUGUUUUGGAGUGGAAUUGCAUAGUAGAUUCUUACGACUUUUCAUGUUCGUUUUUAUUAGUAUGCUUGGAUGUUGAUAACUCUAUUUGGGUUGUCGGUUUGAAGCUGAAUAUGCUUUGUUUUCUUUAAAUUAUUUUAUCAUGACUAUGAGUAAACCGUGGGAUAUUGAGAUGAAACUUUAUGUUGGAUAUGCAUGAUUAGAUUAAUAUUAGGAUAUGUUUGGCAAUGAA